UACGGGGGGGGGCAAGCGUUGUUCGGAAUUACUGGGCGUAAAGGGCCAGUAGGCGGCCAACUAAGUCGGAUGUGAAAUCCCCAGGCUUAACCUGGGAACUGCAUCCGAUACUGGAUGGCUUGAAUUCGGGAGAGGGAUGCAGAAUUCCAGGUGUAGCGGUGAAAUGCGUAGAUAUCUGGAGGAAUACCGGUGGCGAAGGCGGCAUCCUGGACCGACAUUGACGCUGAACGGCGAAAGCUAGGGAGCAAACGGG
rnacentral:rRNA from 1 species